UACGUAGGGUGCGAGCGUUAAUCGGAAUUACUGGGCGUAAAGCGUGCGCAGGCGGUUCGCCGUGUCCGAUGUGAAAGCCCCGGGCUCAACCUGGGAACGGCAUUGGAAACUGGCGGGCUGGAGUAUGGCAGAGGGGGGUGGAAUUCCACGUGUAGCAGUGAAAUGCGUAGAGAUGUGGAGGAACACCGAUGGCGAAGGCAGCCCCCUGGGCCAAUACUGACGCUCAGGCACGAAAGCGUGGGGAGCAAACAGG
rnacentral:rRNA from 1 species